GGGUGAGUAGGUUUAGGAGCUGUAAACUCUUAAUUUGUUUUUCACCAU
rnacentral:tRNA from 1 species